UAUAAGAGGUCCCGCCUGCCCUGUGACUGAUAGUUUAACGGCCGCGGUAUUUUGACCGUGCAAAGGUAGCGCAAUCACUUGUCUUUUAAAUGGAGACCUGUAUGAAUGGCAUAACGAGGGCUUAACUGUCUCCCCUUUCAAGUCAAUGAAAUUGAUCUCCCCGUGCAGAAGCGGGGCUAACCCCACAAGACGAGAAGACCCUAUGAAGCUUUAGACAAAAGAUAGAUCAUAUUAGACAUCUACAACCAAGAACCAUGAUUCUAAUAGCCACCUAUCCUGAUGUCUUUGGUUGGGGCGACCGCGGGGUAGAAACCAACCCCCGCGCAGAACGGGACAGUUUGUCCUAGAGCCAAGAGCUACCGCUCCAAGCAACAGAACCCUUCUGACUGUAUAGAUCCGGACUACACCGAUCUACGGACCAAGUUACUCUAGGGAUAACAGCGCAAUCCCCUUCCAGAGUCCUUAUCGACAAGGGGGUUUACGACCUCGAUGUUGGAUCAGGACAUCCUAAUGGUGCAGCCGCUAUUAAGGGUUCGUUUGUUCAACGAUUAAAGUCCU
rnacentral:rRNA from 1 species